UACAGAGGGUGCAAGCGUUAAUCGGAAUUACUGGGCGUAAAGCGCGCGUAGGUGGCUGAGUAAGAUGGGUGUGAAAUCCCCGGGCUUAACCUGGGAACUGCAUCCAUAACUGCUCGGCUAGAGUACGGUAGAGGGUAGUGGAAUUUCCUGUGUAGCGGUGAAAUGCGUAGAUAUAGGAAGGAACACCAGUGGCGAAGGCGACUACCUGGACUGAUACUGACACUGAGGUGCGAAAGCGUGGGGAGCAAACAGG
rnacentral:rRNA from 1 species